rnacentral:lncRNA from 1 species
UUCUACAAGCUUAGUCUUUCUUAAGUUCUACUAAGCAUCCGGGUAGGCUGACUAGCUAACUUUGGCAUUGAAAGUUCGCUAGGCCGGACAGAUCGUUGUGUUUGAGUUACGGUCUCGUCACAUUUUGGUUGGGUGGUGGCAUGUUGCCGCAAAGGGUAGUGGAGGGGUUUUUCUAAUCUUAUCCUACAAUUAAUAAUUAAUUAGGUAUUAUUCCGCUACUCAAUAAUUACCCAAUUACAAAUAUAAUUAACAACUAUUUCUAUUUACUUAAAAUAUUAUUCAUUUU